rnacentral:rRNA from 1 species
CAGCGGUUAGGCCGGGGACUCUAAGGAUACUGCCAGUGACAAACUGGAGGAAGGCGGGGACGACGUCAAGUCAUCAUGGCCCUUACGACCAGGGCUACACACGUGCUACAAUGGUAGGUACAGAGGGCAGCUACACAGCGAUGUGAUGCGAAUCUCAAAAAGCCUAUCGUAGUCCAGAUUGGAGUCUGCAACUUGCCUACGUGACGCCCGCAAAUCGCUAGUAAUCGCGGAUCAGAAUGCCGCGGUGAAUACGUUCCCGGGCCUUGUACACACCGCCCGUCACACCAUGGGAGUUGAUUGCACCAGAAGUGGGUAGCCUAACUUUUAGAGGGCGCUCACCAC